UAUAGCAAAGAGGAUACACCUGUUCCCAUUCCGAACACAGAAGUUAAGCUCUUUAGCGCCGAUGGUACUUGGUGGGAAGCCGCCUGGGAGAGUAGGACAUAGCCACGU
rnacentral:rRNA from 1 species